rnacentral:tRNA from 1 species
AAAAAAUUAGUUAAACCGCUUAUAACCUAAGUUUGUCAGACUUAAAUUAUCUUACAGAUAUUUUUUA